rnacentral:RNase_P_RNA from 2 species
AAAGUUAGCUGGACAGCCGCCGCCUUGUCAUGAGGGGGAGGAAAGUCCGGGCUCCAUAGGGCAGAGUGCCAGGUAACGCCUGGGCGGCGUGAGCCGACGGAAAGUGCAACAGAAAGUAUACCGCCUAAGCCCGCAAGGGCCGGUAAGGGUGAAAUGGUGCGGUAAGAGCGCACCGCGUGCUUGGUAACAGGUCACGGCGAUGGAAAACCCCACUCGGAGCAAGACCAAAUAGGGAUCCACUGGCGCGGCCCGCGCUGGAUCCGGGUAGGUCGCUUGAGCGUGCUGGUGACGGUACGCCUAGAGGAAUGGCUGUCCUCGACAGAACCCGGCUUAUAGGCUGACUUUCCAC